rnacentral:lncRNA from 1 species
ACGUAGAAAAGCCCAGUCAGCUAUAUACUUGCUAAAGAAUAAGGAGAGUUGAGUUUUAAGCAUGCAAAUUUGAGAAAAGCUUGAAGGUUCGCUUGGCCAAGUAAGCGACCCCAUUUUGGAGACCAGCCAAGGUAAGCAUAGGUAACUUCAUCGCUCAGGUCUCUCCUCAAAUCCACGUAUUAAUCUUUCGCCUUUUACUAAAGAUUACCGUGGGGAGGGACACUCCAAUGAGCCUAUAGGCCAAUUUUUGAGAGGCCUUGCCCGUUUGGGCA